rnacentral:misc_RNA from 1 species
AAGUCGUAACAAGGUAACCGUAGGUGAACCUGCGGUUGGAUCAUUACCAACUGGUUUUUUUGUUUGCCUUACCCGCCCAUGCCUAGGUGUGGGUGUUGGGUGGGCAUUCAAAACAACUUUAUCCCCCUAUGUGAACUGUUUUCCGUAUCUUUGGCAGCCCUCCAAACAGGGAGGGAAAUGCACAGGGGCAACUUUAGUUGUCCUUUUUAUGUGUAUUUCUUUUUCUUGGGCUGCCAUACUUGUGCUCUACACUUGUCUACCACAUUGAUAGUCGAACUUAAGUCGAUUCACUUUCGGACCUUUUGGGGAAUGAAGUGCGCCAACUUAAGACCUACGUAAAUGUAUUUAUUUACAACUUUUGACAACGGAUCUCUUGGCUCUC